UAGUUCAUUUUAGUAGAGUUUGCUGUUUUCCAGGUGCAGUUAAAAACCAACAUUUCAAGUCAGUAUGUAAUUCGUACACAGCCAACAAACAACUGUCUCUCUACGCUUGAAUGUGCGGCUGUUGCUCUCACUAUCAUGGAAAAAAAUAAGAAUAUACAAGAGACCAUACUACGUCCUCUUCAAGCUUUGUGCUCUUUCCAGCUUCAGCAUGGAGCCCAGAUCCACCACAGCAAGGAGCAUCUUCUUAAAAAUGGCUUAUAUGACAAGCCAAUGCCAAAGAAUAAGCGCAAACUUAGAAGAAUGGAACUUUUGUUAAAUAAUGUAAAAAUAUAGGAAAAUUGUACCUACCGUACAGUGGGAUGUAUUCGCAGCUUGCCAGUGAAUAUGGAUCUGAAUUGAAUCCAAGGAGUUGUGCGUACUGUAACAAAGCAAUUUGUAGGCCCUUCAUAGUUAAAAAGAGUUUACCUCCAAUAAGAUGAACAGUAAUGGAGAAGCUUUUUUAUUCCUUUGUUCAGAUGAUUGAAGAUUAUCCUAAUUUCCUUUAGAAAAAAAAAAAAAAAAGAAUGAAAAUUUGGAGCUUGGUUUAGAUUUAUGUUAUCUCUUGGGUGAAUAGUAGCUGUUCGAUUUCUUUUGGAAAAGUUUGAUCACAAAACAGAAUAUCAGUGUAACGGACUGGGAAGACUUCAAAAUUUAGAAGUAUAUGGAAUCUUGGUUACUUUAAUUUCAGAAUCUAAUUUUUGAAGGUUUUCAAAGAUUAAUUCCUUAUGUUAUUUAGGUCACCAUGUGUAAGUCAUGUUUUUUGGACAGUUCUUUUCAGUGAUGAGAUUUAUAUUUUGUCCCUUUUUAAAAUGAAUGUGUAUUUUACAAGGCCACCAGAUUUAGUUUGUCUCUUAAACUUAGUUGUUAAAAUUAAGUCCACAUAUUUUUAUGUGAACCUGAACCCUUCUGGUCAAACAACAACAACAAACUAGACAAAACAAUAAAGUCAAUGUAGAAAAUCA